rnacentral:rRNA from 1 species
GGGCCCGCACAAGCGGUGGAGCAUGUGGUUUAAUUCGAUGAUACGCGAGGAACCUUACCAGGGCUUAAAUGCAGAACGACCGGCGUGGAAACAUGCCUUUCUUCGGACGGACUGCAAGGUGCUGCAUGGUCGUCGUCAGCUCGUGCCGUGAGGUGUCGGGUUAAGUCCCAUAACGAGCGCAACCCCUAUCUUUAGUUGCCAGCGGAUAAUGCCGGGGACUCUAGAGAAACUGCCAGCGUAAGCUGUGAGGAAGGUGGGGAUGACGUCAGAUCAUCACGGCCCUUACGUCCUGGGCUACACACGUGCUACAAUGGCAAGGACAAUGAGCUGCCAACCCGCGAGGGUGAGCAAAUCUUCAAACCUUGUCUCAGUUCGGAUCGGAGUCUGCAACUCGACUCCGUG